rnacentral:rRNA from 1 species
CGAACGGCAGCGCGGGCUUAGGCCUGGCGGCGAGUGGCGAACGGGUGAGUAAUGCAUCGGAACGUGCCCAGUAGCGGGGGAUAACUACGCGAAAGCGUAGCUAAUACCGCAUACGCCCUACGGGGGAAAGGGGGGGAUCUUCGGACCUCUCACUAUUGGAGCGGCCGAUGUCGGAUUAGCUAGUUGGUGGGGUAAAGGCCUACCAAGGCGACGAUCCGUAGCUGGUUUGAGAGGACGACCAGCCACACUGGGACUGAGACACGGCCCAGACUCCUACGGGAGGCAGCAGUGGGGAAUUUUGGACAAUGGGGGCAACCCUGAUCCAGCCAUGCCGCGUGUGCGAAGAAGGCCUUCGGGUUGUAAAGCACUUUUGGCGGGAAAGAAAAGGCGCUGGCCAAUACCUGGCGCCGAUGACGGUACCCGCAGAAUAAGCACCGGCUAACUACGUGCCAGCAGCCGCGGUAAUACGUAGGGUGCAAGCGUUAAUCGGAAUUACUGGGCGUAAAGCGUGCGCAGGCGGUUCGGAAAGAGAGAUGUGAAAUCCCAGGGCUUAACCUUGGAACUGCAUUUUUAACUCCCGGACUAGAGUAUGUCAGAGGGGGGUGGAAUUCCACGUGUAGCAGUG